rnacentral:tRNA from 1 species
UGUCUCGUAGCUCAGAGGUAGCAGCAACUAACUGUUAAUUAGAAAGUCGUAUGUUCGAUCCCUACCGAGACAGCCA